rnacentral:rRNA from 1 species
UACGCAGGGGGCUAGCGUUGCUCGGAAUCACUGGGCGUAAAGGGUGCGUAGGCGGGUCUUUAAGUCAGGGGUGAAAUCCUGGAGCUCAACUCCAGAACUGCCUUUGAUACUGAGGAUCUUGAGUUCGGGAGAGGUGAGUGGAACUGCGAGUGUAGAGGUGAAAUUCGUAGAUAUUCGCAAGAACACCAGUGGCGAAGGCGGCUCACUGGCCCGUUACUGACGCUGAGGCACGAAAGCGUGGGGAGCAAACAGG